rnacentral:rRNA from 1 species
AUUGAACGCUGGCGGCAGGCCUAACACAUGCAAGUCGAGCGAGCGGCGGACGGGUGAGUAAUGUAUGGGGAUCUGCCUGAUGGCGGGGGAUAACUACUGGAAACGGUAGCUAAUACCGCAUAACAUCCGAUGAACCCCUGUGGGAGUAGCUAGUCGGUGAGGUAACGGCUGACCAAGGCGACGAUCCCUAGCUGGUCUGAGAGGAUGAUCAGCCACACUGGGACUGAGACACGGCCCAGACUCCUACGGGAGGCAGCAGUGGGGAAUAUUGCACAAUGGGCGCAAGCCUGAUGCAGCCAUGCCGCGUGUAUGAAGAAGGCCUUCGGGUUGUAAAGUACUUUCAGUCGGGAGGCGUUACCGACAGAAGAAGCACCGGCUAACUCCGUGCCAGCAGCCGCGGUAAUUC